rnacentral:rRNA from 1 species
CCCUUAGAUGUUCUGGGCCGCACGCGUGCUACACUGAGUGGAUCAGCGGGUCAGGUUGCGCGAAAGCGUUUCCUAAUCUUUAAAUCCGCUCGUGAUGGGGAUUACGGUUGCAAUUUUCUGUCAUGAACGAGGAAUACCUUGUAAGCGCGGGUCAUCAUCCCGCGCUGAAUACGUCCCUGCCCUUUGUACACACCGCCCGUCGCUCCUACCGAUUGAGUGGUCCGGUGAGGCUUUGGGAUCUGAGCGGAAAGAGCGUUUCGCUGUUUCUGCUCGGAAAACUCAGUCGAACCUUAUCAUUUAGAGGAAGGAGAAGUCGUAACA